rnacentral:lncRNA from 1 species
GCUGUUCUUAAAGAACUAUAUAAAAAGUGGCAUUUAAGAAUAAAGAAAUGCAGCUUAAAGAGCAGUUUGUCACCAUUUAAAAAAAAUCUUAAUGGUAGCCUGCAUGUUUAAUACCAUUUCCACAGUAUGUCAGCUAGCACAGGCUUAGUCCAAUAAUUUAGAACUUGAGAAUAGGAAUGUCUUUUGGUUCUGAAUGCAGAUCAUAAGUCCUCAUGUCCUGUAUGUGAAGGCUCAGUUGUUCCAGUCUCCACCUCCUCUCCUGUUUUUACAGUUUGAACACAUGUUCCACCCUUAUCUUCAAAUCCUUCUGAACAUACACACUUGUAACUACCUGAAGUAUUAACACAGUCUUCAUUCUCCUUUGUGCAUACCUUUUCUGAAAGGUUACAUUCAUCUAUAUCUGUACACUUUUCAUCUUCCUUCAUGUAUCCAGAUGCGCAGGUCUUACACUUGUCAGAGCCUUCUCCUGUGCAACCUACACAGCUAGCAUCACAAGCUUUGCAUGAGAAAGAUCCAUCUGUGUUCAAACAAUACUGCUCAUCUUUGCAAGGAGAAGAGGCACAUUCAUCUAAAUCCACACAAGCUGCUUCUUCAUUUUUGAUCCAGCCUUCUUUACAGUCUUGGCAGUCCUUGUUACUUGAACCGGUACAAGUUUUACAAGCAGUGUGGCAGGCUGCACAAACUGAAUGUGUCUCAUUUCUCAAGCUACUGUAGUAACCACUAGAACAGUCCAAACAAAAUUCUCCUGUGUAUUCCUUGUUGCAGCUACAUGUGCCAUCUCCACCUCGGGUACCAUCACCGUCACAGUGGCCAUUUCCAUGACAAGGUCUUUCUGAUCCGCCACGACAAGCAAGGCAAUCUGGUCCAUAAGUUCCAGGUGGGCAACAAACUUCUAAUGUUUCUAUGCAAAACCACUUAAACAAAUCGGGAUAUUUCUUCUUUAGUUUGAACCACCAUUUCUCUAUAUGUUCUUCAUGCUCUUCUACCAUGUUGUUACAUUCAAAGUUACUGCUAUCACAGAGAUUCUCCGUGAUCUCUACAAGACGAAUUUCACUGGACUCAUACUUCGACAGUGUCUUCUCCUCCCAAGCAGUGUUUCCACCACCAAAAUUCUUCUUCGCCGUAUCCGCUAAGCCCUGGUUGAACCUGUCCACGAUACCCCGGCAGGUGGUGCACGCCAGGCGCCGCCGCUCGCCGGCGCCCAUAGCAGGAGGAGGCGGCAGCAGCAAGAGGAGGAGCAGCGCGGCGUACAGCGCGGGCAACGGCGAGCGAGGCGCGUGGCCGGGCCCCAUGGCGAGUGCAGCGCGAAAGGAUAAGGCGCGAGGCAGCCCGGCCGCGCUCCCAGCCCGCCGCAGCGCGGCCCCACAGCACCGCCUCGCCCCGCCCCG